rnacentral:tRNA from 1 species
GCAAUGGUGAUUCAGUGGUAGAAUUCUUAUCCUCCACAUGGGAGACCUGGGUUCAAUUCUCGGCUGGUGUA